rnacentral:sRNA from 1 species
CACAGUGUACACAUGCAGUGCGGAGAAUUGCGAAACAGGAUUGAGAAGAAUAAAUAGACUUGGUCAGAGGAAUAUAAGAGUGCAGAUGAAUUACGCUCCACGGAUCCACCGUAAUUGGAUGUCAUUGUGUGAAAUGUGUCUCCAAUUUGCUAUUCAAUACGGAUAUUCUCCAUAUAUCUGUUCCCAGUAUUGCCCUCAACCGAAUUUCAGGAAACCCACGUAUACAGUAAAAACAUAAUGAAAGAAAGACAGAUGAAUAUUCAAUAUCAAUAAGUUUCAACAAUGAUUGAACCAGUUUGAUUGAAUUGUUUGUUUAUUAUAUCAACAGUUUUUAACUGUUUAUGAGAUUUUCAUUAAAAAAAUGCAGAGGC